AGAAAAGUAAGCUAAUAAAAGCUAAUGGGUUCAUACCCCAUAUAUAGAGUAAAACUCUCUUCUCUA
rnacentral:tRNA from 1 species